UACGAAGGGGGCUAGCGUUGUUCGGAUUUACUGGGCGUAAAGCGCACGUAGGCGGGUUGUUAAGUCAGGGGUGAAAUCCUGGAGCUCAACUCCAGAACUGCCUUUGAUACUGGCAACCUAGAGGCUGGAAGAGGUUAGUGGAAUUCCCAGUGUAGAGGUGAAAUUCGUAGAUAUUGGGAAGAACACCAGUGGCGAAGGCGGCUAACUGGUCCAGAUCUGACGCUGAGGAGCGAAAGCGUGGGGAGCGAACAGG
rnacentral:rRNA from 1 species